rfam:Coprinopsis cinerea okayama7#130 chromosome 4 cont3.4, whole genome shotgun sequence.
GCCCGCCUAGCUCAAUCGGAUAGAGCGUCAGACUCUUAUCGUCUAGGACGGGCAUCUGAAGGCUGCGAGUUCGACCCUCGCGGUGGGCU